ensembl:lncRNA
AUUUUGUGAAUACAAUUUGCAUAUAUACUGUAUUUUGUCUGUGUACAUUGCGUUAUCCCCCCGUGUGUCAUAUGUAUACUAUGUAUACUGCGUAUAUAGUGCAUAUUACGUAUACUGUGCAAUAUUGUGUGUGUGUGUAUUUAUACUGAGCAACCCCCCGUGUAUUGUAUUGUUCUACUAUAUAUAGGGAUUGCAUAGUGUACACUUAUGUUGUAUAACGUAACUUAUGUUAUACUCUCAACACUGCAUUUUCUGGAGCUGCACUAAAGAUUUUCACUCUUCUCUACAUGUUAUGUUGACGGUGAUGUGACAAUAAAGCUUGAUUGGAUUUGAUUUGAUUUGACCUCCAGCGGAGCGUAGACGCACAGAACGUGUAUGUACUGACUUCUCCAUGUGACGUCCACCCCAAAACCCAGCCAGCAUGAACAGUAAAAGGCCUAACCUUCUGAUAGGUGCACUCCCCAAAAAGUAUCUCCAUGCCUGUAGAGUGGACACCACCUACGCUCUAGUAGGACUCACCCUUCCUCCAUUCGUGAGAGAAGAGAGUCAUGUCCUGCAAGUCCCGGAGAUGGACUUCCUGCAAAAACACAGGUUGAAGGCAUAGGACUCAAACUGAUUAAACAGUUAAACAGCAGUUAUUUUUACUUCAUUUUUAAGUCCCCUGACGUUAAGGGAUAAUAUUUUAAAAUCAGCCAUUGCAGUACAUUAUUAAAUGAAUAAAGCACUAAAAUAACAUGAAAAACCGGCCACUAUUUAGUCCAUAAAGAACUCCUCUUCAGAAGACACUGCCUCCACAGGGUCCACACGGCAUCCAUCUCCUCCGGGGAAGAGGUUUGCUCUCGGCCUUCUUCCGAAGGGGACUCGGCCGGCAAAAGGGCCCCGUCACAUGCCAAUGCAGCCUCCCUUCCAAACUUUUUCUUCUUCCUUUUUUGGUGUAGAAUCUUCCAUUUUUUGCUCCAUAAAUAUUCACCAAGAUAGGGGCAGGGCUUGCUCCCCGGAUCUCUUUGGCUUCACCAAUGGCCUCUCUGGCCCCCGCUGGCAUUUCCACCACCAUCUCCAUCACGCCGAUUUCCUUCUUCGUCAAGGCUUCUGCCGUGUGCCCCUGACCCUGGCAGAUUCUAUAGAAGGGAGGCUGCUGGGGGUAAAAGAGGUAAUCGCCAUUAUUGUGCCUAUUAGAAUACGUUCCUUGUGCACAUUCUGUAAGAGAGUAGCAUUCACAUUCUAACCACUUCACCCUCUGUGUGAAGAUGAAAAUGAUCAGGAAAGACAAAUAAUUUCUCAGCUCUUUGUGCCACAUUGUGCUCAUAAGCACAGUUUCUGAUAUG